rnacentral:lncRNA from 1 species
AAUUAAUAAAAAUAAUUUAUUAGAAUAAAUUUAUAAUUUUUUUAAAAUUCUACUUAAACUUAAAUUUAAUACAAAAUUUAUUGUAUAUUUAAAUAUAUUUUAUAUAAAAUUUAUUAUAAUAUUUAAAUAUAAAUAAUAUGUAUUAAUAUAGUAAAUUAAUAAUUUUAUAAUAAAAUAAUAUAUUAUAAUAUAUAACAUAUUAUAUUUAUAUAAUUUAGUUUUAAUUCAAUUUAUAAUUUUACUUAACUUUGAAAUUAAGUAUCGUAAUAGCACUAUUCCACUAAAAUGGUGGAAUAGCAAAUUUUUUAUUAUUCCAGGAUAACUGGAAAUAGCAAGGUUUGACAAGAAUAAAAUAUUUCGGUAAAAAAUCACUAUGUUUGGCCUAAUAGCCUUCAGCGGCAAGUUCUAUAUAACAGUGAACCCUUUCUUCUUUUCCCACCCUCACAAGCCAAACUCCCCAAAACAUUCCCGCUUAGAGCUUCUACUCUCCUCUUCCCGUGCUACCAAUCCAUCAUCAUCAUGAGGUUCCACCCUUCCAACUUCUCCCAGGCGCCUCCCCCAUGGAACCCUUUCAGAGUCGAAAACGAUUCACCACUUUCGACGUAUGCCUUUGCUACUGCUUCUGCAGACGACGUUCUGCCCCGGCUGCCCUGCCUGCUACCUCCUCUACCUCCGCCAACCUCCCCCGUCUCCUACUGCUGCCGCAUUUUAGAAGGAUCAAGAAAAGUUUACGCACGAAAAAAAAUAAAUAACUAUGUCUGUUUUAUAAACUACAAGAAAAUAGAUAUUUUGUGGCAAAACUAAUGGCCACAAAAAUAAAGAAAUUCGCCACAAAAGGUCUUUUGUAGCCAUAUUAGUUUCGUCAUAGC